rnacentral:rRNA from 1 species
ACGAAGGUGGCAAGCGUUACUCGGAAUUACUAGGCGUAAAGGGCAGGUAGGUGGUUUGAUAAGUCUGCUGUGAAAGCUCCUGGCUUAACUGGGAGAGGCCAGCAGAAACUAUCGGACUUGAGUAUAGGAGAGGUAACUGGAAUUCCCGGUGUAGCGGUGAAAUGCGCAGAGAUCGGGAGGAACACCAAUGGCGAAAGCAGGUUACUGGACUAUUACUGACACUCAGCUGCGAAAGCUAGGGGAGCAAACAGGAUUAGAUACCCUGGUAGUCCUAGCCGUAAACGAUGCACAUUAGACGUGAGGGGUAUCGACCCCCUUCGUGUCGACGCUAACGCAUUAAAUGUGCCGCCUGGGGAGUACGGCCGCAAGGUUG